rnacentral:rRNA from 1 species
UACGAAGGGGGCUAGCGUUGCUCGGAAUGACUGGGCGUAAGGGCGCGUAGGCGGAUGGCACAGUCAGAUGUGAAAUUCCUGGGCUUAACCUGGGGGCUGCAUUUGAUACGUGUGAUCUAGAGUGAGGAAGAGGGUUGUGGAAUUCCCAGUGUAGAGGUGAAAUUCGUAGAUAUUGGGAAGAACACCGGUGGCGAAGGCGGCGACCUGGUCCUUAACUGACGCUGAGGCGCGAAAGCGUGGGGAGCAAACAGG